CUAGAGGCUUUGAGGGCUGGAUUAACCCAUUUAUAAACAUAGCAGUUUCUCUGAAACUGCAAUGUUUAUAAAAAAAAUGGGUUAACUCUAGCUGGACCUGGCACCCAGACCACUUCAUUAAGCUGAAGUGGUCUGGGUGCCUAGAGUGGUCCUUUAACUUUGUGGACCAUUAUUUUGACUUAGCCAUAAUUCCAACAUGCAGUCAAACGUGACCCUCAACAAACCCCUAAUAAGUAAGGUAUUUCAAGUGUUUCAGCGGAAGCACACCUGGUGCAACUAAUGAAGCUCUUGAUUAGUUGCAUUAGGUGUGCUUGAGACAACAUCUGUUUUGCAUAUUUGUACUGUUGUGAGGGAUUCUAUUUAGGGGGUUGAAUAAGUAGAUAAGUCAUAAGUUGCAUUUUCAGUUGAACUUAGGGAAACCACUUGACGCAUUUGUUGUGUUGAGCAAUUGCUUUUGUUUGAU